GAUGAAGAACGUAGCGAAAUGCGAUAAGUAAUGUGAAUUGCAGAAUUCAGUGAAUCAUCGAAUCUUUGAACGCACAUUGCGCCCCCUGGUAUUCCGGGGGGCAUGCCUGUUCGAGCGUCAUUUCAACUCUCAAGCUCUGCUUGGUAUUGGGCGUCGCCGGGGAGUCUCCCCGGCGUGCCUCAAAGCCAUCGGCGGUGGUGCCUUUCUCUAAGCGUGGUAGAAUUUUUAUUCGCUUCUGAGUUGGGCUUCGCCUGCCGGACAAACCGGGCCCUCGCGGCCCACCUUCUCAGGUUGACCUCGGAUCAGGUAGGGAUACCCGCUGAACUUAAGCAUAUCAAUAAGCGGAGGA
rnacentral:misc_RNA from 1 species